rnacentral:rRNA from 1 species
GAUGAACGCUAGCUACAGGCUUAACACAUGCAAGUCGAGGGGUCUCGCGGGAGCUUGCUUCCAAGAGACGACCGGCGCACGGGUGAGUAACGCGUAUCCAACCUGCCCUUCAUAUUGGGAUAGCCUUCCGAAAGGAAGAUUAAUACCGAAUAACAUGAGAAAGUUGCCUGAUUCUCUCAUGAAAGCUCCGGCGAUGAAGGAUGGGGGUGCGUUCCAUUAGGUAGUAGGCGGGGUAACGGCCCACCUAGCCUACGAUGGAUAGGGGUUCUGAGAGGAAGGUCCCCCACACUGGAACUGAGACACGGUCCAGACUCCUACGGGAGGCAGCAGUGAGGAAUAUUGGUCAAUGGGCGCAAGCCUGAACCAGCCAAGUAGCGUGAAGGAUGACUGCCCUAUGGGUUGUAAACUUCUUUUAUACGGGAAUAAAACCUCCCACGUGUGGGAGCUUGUAUGUACCGUAUGAAUAAGCAUCGGCUAACUCCGUGCCAGCAGCCGCAGUAA